UCCGCGCAGGCGCGCAUCAUUCUUCAGAAUAAAGGAUACGCCAGAAUUGUGCAGCCGAGACGACAACUUCUGUGUCCGUGUAUUACUACUGGCUGACUCAGAUUAAGUCUGAGGCCGGUAACAUCAACAGUGAGGACAAACCCAGUCCUGCCUCUCUCCUUCCACACUGAGUCCAAACCUACAGUCACUGGGUCCUGAUUGUGACAGUGGAGCCCAGUUUGCACUGCAGGAUCCAUAGAUGGCAUCAGUGAAGCUGGAAGACUGCAGUCAAACACUGGAGCUGAAUGUCAACAUUAAAGAUGAAGAAGAGGAGGAGAAGAUUGGGAAAUCUGUUUUUCAUGUCAUUGGCAGCAGAGAACUGGAAGGACAGGCGGCCAAAUGAGGAGUUGGCUUUGGGGAUGACCAGUGAAAUAUACCUGCUGGACCGCGUGCUACGGGUAUGAGGCCGGUAACAUCAACAAUGAGGACAAACCCAGCCUGCCUCUCUCCUUCCACACUGAGUCCAAACCUACAGUCACUGGGUCCUGAUUGUGACAGUGGAGCCCAGUUUGCACUGCAGGAUCCAGAGAUGGCAUCAGUGAAGCUGGAAGACUGCAGUCAAACACUGGAGCUGGAUGUCAACAUUAAAGAUGAAGAAGAGGAGGAGAAGAUUGGGACAUCUGUUAGUCAUGGACGACUAGAAUUAUGUCUGAGGCCGGUAACAUCAACAGUGACGACAAACCCAGCCUGCCUCUCUCCUUCCACACUGAGUCCAAACCUACAGUCACUGGGUCCUGAUUGUGACAGUGGAGCCCAGUUUGCACUGCAGGAUCCAGAGAUGACAUCAGUGAAGCUGGAAGACUGCAGUCAAACACUGAAACUGAAUGUCAACAUUAAAGAUGAAGAAGAGAAGAUUGGGAAAUCUCUUUCUCAUGGAGACCAUGUUGAGACAUUCUCUACAUCCAGAGAGCAACAGCAGGAAGAUCACAGAGCUAAGAGGUCUCACCACUGCCCACAUUGUGAGGAGAAUUUUUCAGUUAUAUCAACACUAAAAAUACAUCUAAAAAUACACCUAGGAGAGAAUCUGUAUUCCUGCACUGACUGUGGGAAGAGUUUCUCAACAUCAAAGGUUCUAACAGUUCAUCAGAGAGUGCACACUGGAGACAAGCCUUACUCCUGCUCUGACUGUGGAAAGAGUUUCUCUCAAAUGGGCACCUUAAAACGACAUGAACGUGUACACACAGGAGAGAAGCCUUACUCUUGCUCUGACUGUGGAAAGAGUUUUCUCGACCCGAUGACUUAAAAACACACAAACGUAUACAUACAGGAGUGAAGCCUUACUCCUGCUCUGACUGUGGAAAGAGUUUUUCUCGACUGGGCCACUUCAAAACACAUAAACGUAUACAUACAGGAGUGAAGCCUUACUCCUGCUCUGACUGUGGAAAGAGUUUCUCUCAACUGGGUGAAUUAAAAAUACACGACCGUAUACAUACAGGAGUGAAGCCUUACUCCUGCUCUGACUGUGGAAAAAGUUUCUCUCAACUGAACAGCGUGAAAACACAUGAACGUAUACACACAGGAGAGAAGCCCUACUCCUGCUCUGACUGUGGAAAAAGUUUCUCUAAACUGGACAACUUAAAAAGACAUGAACGUGUACAUACAGGAGUGAAGCCAUACUCCUGCUCUGACUGUGGAAAGAGUUUCUCUCGACUGGGCCACUUAAAAACACAUGAACGUAUACACACAGGAGAGAAGCCUUAAUGCUGCUCUAAUUGUGUAAAAUGCUUCACACCAACUCACCUAAAAUUUAAUCAGAGAACACACAAGGGAGAGAAGCCUUACUACUGCUCUGACUGUGGAAAAUGUUUAUUUUUGUCUGUUAAAAAGACACCAAGGUAAAGAAGAGAAGACUUACCACAUAAAGAAGAGAAUACUUACCACUGAUCUGACUGUAUGUUAUUAUUUUGUAAACAGCUGAGCUAAAAGUUCACCAGAGAACAGACACAGGAGGGAAGCCUUACUUCUGCUUUGACUGUGGCAGGAGUUUCUCUGGCCAGAUUGUGUCUUUACAUUGCCACCAACUGAUACACACUUGAGAGAAGCCUUAUCACUGCACUGACUGAGAAUAGAUUCUACAAUUUGGGCCAUUUUAAAAAGACACCAUUGUGUACAUAAAGGAGAGGCCUCAUCAGUUCUCUCAGACCAGCUAAGGUUAGCCACUCCGCUUAAUUCUCAUGUCAUUAAAUAAUUGGCGAUGUUGAAUUUGAUCAAAUGAAGAAAGUGUAGAACACUAUUGUAAUCCUAUUGUUUCUCACUGUGAGAGAACAAUGCAGAGGAAAGGGAGUGUUAUAGAAUGUUAGCCUCUCUUUACUUUACUGAUCAGUGUGCACCUUGUCAGUUUGUGUGUUUUGUAAGCUUCUACUGUAAAGAUAUUGAGAUGACCUUGGAUUUGCCCUUAGGGUUGAAUAUCCUCUGUGAGGCGUCUCACUAUGGAGUCUGAUGGUUGACUGCUUGGUACGGCUUCCCUUUGCAGUUUUCUGUGGGAAUGAGCUGGUAGACACAACAUGUACAGAGUGUACAAAACAUUAAGGACGCCUGCUCUUUCCAUGAAAUAGACUGACCAGGUGAACCCAGGUGAAAACUAUAAUUGUUAAUGAUGUUGUUUUUAUUAUGGAUUUAUUAUGGAUCCCUAUUAGCUUCCAGCAGAAAACAAGAGACUGCAGUUGCAGUGGGCUAAAAAUUGAAAAGACUGGACGCUGGAGAAUUUGAAAAACAUACUGCCUGGUCUGAUGAAUCCCUGGUUCCUGCUGUUUCAUGCUGAUGGGAGGACUGGGGUAAUGAUACCUUAAAAAAAUGACUCAAGUGAAAGUCACCCAGUAAAAUACUACUUGAGUAAAGUAUUUGGUUGUAAAUAUUCUUAUGUAUCAAAAGUUAAAGUAUGAAUAAUUUCAAAUUCCUGAAAUUAAGCAAACCAGAUGGCACAACUGAGUUGUUUUUUUUAUAUCACGGAUAGCCAGGGGCAGAUUCCAACACUCAGACAUAAUUUACAAACUAAGCAUUUCUGUUUAGUGAGUCUGCCAAAUCAGAGGCAGUAGGGAGGACCAGGGAUGUUAUCUUAUAAGUGUGUGAAUUGGACCAUUUUCUGUCCUGCUAAUCAUAAAAAAAUGUAACAAGUACGUUUGGGUGUCAGGGAAAAUGUAUGGAGUAAAAAGUACAUUAUUUUCUUUAGGAAUGUAGUGAAGUAAAAGUUGUCAACAAUAUAAAUAGUAAAGUACAGAUACGCCCAAAAACGUCAAUUCUUAGCCUGUUUAUCAUUAAACAAAACUUGUUUAGAUAUAUAAAAUAUUCCGCCAAAACUGAUCAUCACACCAUCUUUAUCUGAUAUACACGGAGUGUACAAAAUAUUAGGAACAUGGAGUUGCACCCCUGUUUGUCCUCAGAACAGCAUCAAAUUGUCAAUGCAUAGAUUGUCCAAGGUGUUGAUAACAUUUCACAGAGAUGCUGGUCCACGAUGACACCAAUGCUUCCCACAAUUGUGUCGGGUUGGCUGGAAGUGGAUCACUACUCUGAAUAGCUCGUUCCAUCUCCUCCCACAGAUGCACAAUUGGAUUGAGAUCAGGUGACUGCAGGCCACUGCAGUAAACUGAAUUCCCUGUCAUGUUCUUGGAACCAUUCCUGGACAAGCCUUGUGGCGUAAUCCUGCUGAAGAAAUCUAUUUGUGUUCCCCAAUCCUGGUCCCAAAAGGGGUGUACAUGUGUGUUUUUGCCCUCGCACUCACAUACAUUAGAAAAUAAAAGAAAGUAACACAAAAAAUAACAAUAACAAGGCUAUAUACAGGGGGUUGUGUUUCUAGCACAGGAGGCUGCUGAGGAGAGAACGGCUCAUAAUAUUGUCUGGAACGGAGCCAAUGGAAUGACAUCAAACACCUGGAAACCAUGUGUCUGUCAUCUAUUGUAACAUUCCACUAAUUAACAGAGUCCACUAAUUCCUGUGGUUUCUAGGGACUGAUAUUGAUUCUUGUAGAAUAUGUUUCAUAUUCUUCCAUAUUGUUAUUGUGUUCUUAACUCUGUUGUUCAUGUUCUUGGCUUUUCCUUGUGAAUAUAAACACGUAAAAUAUUCUGGGGAUGAACGCGCAUGUUUUCAAUAUGAACCAAACACCCAUUGUUCCUCUUUAGUGCAUUUAACUACAUGUUGCAAGUUAAAGCCUUGAGUAGUGAGUUGAUACAAUUCCAAAUCUGGAAGGUUAAAACCACCCUCAGAUUUAGGAAGAAGUGAAACUUUCCUUUUUACUCUAUGAAUUUUAUUUGUCCAUAUACAGUGUUAUGACAGUACACUUUUUAAAGAAUGUGGGGUAAUUGGUAUUAUGGAAAAUAAAUACUAAAACUUUGGGAGCCAUGCCAUUCUUUAGAGGUUUACUCUACCUGCCAGAUUGGGAAGAUUAUUCCAUUUAAAUACAUCUGCUGUCAUAUUGUUAACUUUAUUCCAUUACUUAUCUUUAUAUAGUGUUUUAUUUGUUAUCACUUAUUAAGCAUCCAAAGUAUUUCAUAUUUUGUGGUCCCAAAUUGGUCAGGUAUAUCAGGAGAUCAUCUGUAAAUAAGUUUAUUUUAUAUUCAUGUUUACCAAUACUGAUACUUGUUACAUUUGGGUCCUGUGUAAUUCUUUCUGCCAGCGGUUCAACUGCCAGUGCAAAACAGCAGGGAGAGGACGGACAUCCCUGUCUUGUGCUCCUUUAUAAAACAAUUUCAUCAGAUAAUAUAUUUUUGUAUAUUUUAGCUUUCUGACAUUUAUACAAUCUUUUUAUAAAUAGUAUUAUUUUUUGCUCAAAUUUUAAGUUCCUAAAGUUUUGAAUAGAAAAGGCCCUUCAAGACAGUCAAAAGCCUUUUCGGCAUCAACCACCAUUUUUGAUAAAUCUAUAUGUUUUUUUUUGUGUAUUGUAUUAAACUGAAAUGUUUUUGUUUGUCUAUUUUUAAUAAACUCUGUUUGAUAUGUUAAGUCUGGUAAUACUUUUGCCAUUCUUAUAAGCUUUAUUAUUUGAUUGUCACAGUUGAUUAAACUUGUGGGUCUAUAAUCAGUAGGGGACUCUCCAGGUGUUCCUGAAUUUAAUAUAACUGAAAUUGUUUGAUACAUAACGUGUGUUGUCAUUUGCGUAAAUUGGGCUGCUACUUUGUCCCAGAUUGUCAAAUAAAAUUCUGUGGGAAAUCUGGUGCUUUCCAUACCUGGU